AAUCCGGGAUGGACAUACAUUUUUCAGGUCUUCAUCAAGGUUGUAAGGGAAUAUUCCGCCUCAAAUGUUUCUCCUCAGGACCGAGUGUUGGUAAUAAAGCGGAGCUCAACAGGCUUCACGACCAAAGUUAACACUAAUGCCUUCAAGUCCAAACAUCCACAGUAUCAGAUCAUAUGUAACAUCAGUGUGUAGAGAGACGGAAUCUACCUCAGUCACUGACACUGACUUAACCUCACCAGAAACACCUGAAAAACAAACAGGGACCGUUUUAAUUGGUCUAUCUCUGUCAGUAGCCGAUUCAGUUGAGUGUGAGAUCAGGUUCGCAUGUGUCCAGCUCUGUGUCUGUGAAGAGUGAUUGUUUAAAAGGUGACAUGCCGAACUUCAGUGAGAAAAAAACAUCAGCCAAAGGAGAUUUCUGUGAUAGUUUGGCUGAAUACACAAUAUUUUAUUAUUGAAGAGUGACCAGUCAAAAGGUGACAUGCCCGAACCUCAGUGAGAAAAAACCAUCAUCAAUCAAAAGACUUCAGUAUGAGACAUUAGAUUCAAACUCCCAGACUCACAGGAACCACAAGAAUUUCAGAGACAAUCUUCUGUGCAUCUUCCAUAAUCUUGAGAGAAAAAUCAUACAAUUUCUGAAAAAUGAACUGUAAAAUUUUAAGAAAAUAUUACAAAAAGGCAACACACAAAACUUUGUGAAGGACUUUAAUGACAAUAGAUGCAGUAUCAAAGAAGCAGCUCUUGAUCUCACACUCUACUUCCUGAGAGAGAUGAAGCAAGAUGAAGCUGCUGAGACUCUGGAAGAUGAGCUGUUCUUCAUUCAUCAGCUAAAAUGUAGCCUAAAAAAGAAGUACCAAUGUGUGUUUGAAGGAAUUGCAAAGCAAGGUGAUUCUACGCUUCUGAAUAACAUCUACACAGAUCUCUGUAUCACUCAGGGUUGUAGUGAACAGAUCUACUGAACAUGAGGUAAGACAGAUUGAAGUUACUUCCAGACGUCAUGAAUCACAGGAGAUACAGGUUGAAUGCAAAAACUUAUUUGAAGCACCUGAACAAGACAAGCAGAUCAGAGCUGUACUGACAAAAGGAGUUGCUGGCAUUGGAAAAUCCAUGUCUGUGCAAAAGUUUGUUCUGGAUUGGGCUGAAGGCAAAGAAAAUCAAGAUAUCCGCUUCAUAUUUCCUCUUCCAUUCAGAGAGAUGAACUUAAAGGAGAAAGAAAAACUAAGUUUGAUGGAUCUUAUAAAUCAGUUUUUCCCAGAGACAAAAAAGACUGAACCUUACAAAAAGAAAUCACUUUGAAGUCCUGUUCAUUCUUGAUGGAUUGGAUGAAUGUCGAUUUCCUCUAAACUUUGACGGUAAUGAGACAUGGCAUGAUGUUUCAUCACCAGCCUCUCUGGAUGUUCUCUUGACAAACCUCAUCAAGGGAAAUCUGCUUCCUUCUGCUCUCAUCUGGAUCACCACCAGACCAGCAGCAGCCAGUAAGAUUCCUCCUGACUGUAUCGACCGGUUGACAGAGGUCCGAGGAUUCAAUGAUGCACAAAAGGAGAAGUACUUCAAAAAAAAGUUUCACAGAUGAAUAUCUGGCAAAAGAAAUCACUUAUCACGUUAAAAAACAAAGAGUCUCUUUAUCAUGUGUAAGGAGUGAAAUUAUCUCCUUUAUGAAAUUAACUCAGGAACUCACAGAUACCAUGCAAUAAAGCCAUGAAACUAACCUGGAGAAGAGAUCUCCAAAGACAACAAAAGAUCUCCAAAGAGAACAGACAACACCACCCUAACCUAACUUAUCUUCUUUGAUCAUUUACGACCCCCUUCUUCACCCUGCCAUCUCUGCAUCUCCCUCUUUCUCCCCAAAAGGGUUCACUCAAAGUUAAUUAAGAAUAUGCAAAUACCACAUAUCAUGUAUCUUGUGAACCUGUUGUUUUUCCCUUUCAUGUUUGGUAUCAUUUUAAAGGUCUCGGUGCGAUGGGUAAACUGGUCUCAA